CUUUACUGUAGUUUGGAAUUGGGUUCGGGCUCUUCUUGCGCAGCCUAGGUGGGAGGCUAUGAAGAUAAACUUUUGGGUUUAUUGGAGCCAACAGUGAGAGACCACUCUAGAGGAGCUAGAAUUCUAAUGGCGUUCCUUGAAGCAGGACGCUUGACAGUUUCAGAUGGGCAGUUUGACUGGGGCGGUCACCUCCUAAAAGGUAACGGAGGUGUGCAAAGGUUCCCUCAGGCUGGACGGAAAUCAGCCGUAGAGUGUAAAGGCAGAAGGGAGCUUGACUGCAAGACCUACAAGUCGAGCAGGGGCGAAAGCCGGCCUUAGUGAUCCGACGGUUCCGAGUGGAAGGGCUGUCGCUAAACGGAUAAAAGUUA
rnacentral:rRNA from 1 species